UUCUCCAUAUCAUGAGGCUUGGAAAGAUGACAUUUCAAAGCCCUAUAAUUGUGGAUUUUGGAGAGAAUAACAAAAACAUAUGAUAAUAAGCUGGAUGUGAUGGCACACAUCUGUAAUCCUAGCAUUUGGGAGUCUGGACAGGAGGAUCACAGUGAAUUUCUUAAGCCCAUCCAGGACUAUAUAGCAAGUUUAAGACCAUCCUGAAAUACAUAUCAAGACCCUGUCUCAAAAAACAAAACAAAAAGACAUAUGCUGUCAAUAACACUCUCUAUUAAUGUGCCUUUGGUCAAGUAUGAAACCCUUGGACAAGUGAAAAAAGAUCCAUUUCCAAUUUUGAGAAAUGCCUUAGAACCUCAAAGUGUAUUACUUAAAUAAAUAGGUAGACAAAUAUGUUUGAAAAGAUAUUGACAAUAUUUAUACUAUGCUUUUGUAAAACAAGCUGACUUCUCUCUCAUAUUCUACAUUGCGUUCCUGCUAAUCCAUUCUAAAAAGUUCUCUGAAGCCUAAAAUGUUACCUGAUAAGGGAUUCAACUGAUUUUUAUAAUAAGGGACUCUUAAAGGCCAAAACAGCUCUCAAAACACAAAGGAAUGAAGUUAUGAAAGUGGAAAAUUACACUCUGCUGCUAAAUUCCUUGGGGCCUCAAGCCUGUAAGUGUUCUGUUUGGUGUGCAGGAGCUAGCCAGUACUCUGCUGAUAUCCUGGAUCACACUACUGAGUUACCACUUCCAGGUGGAAAAGCAAUGGUGCCUUUACAAGCCUCCACCAUGUGAUCUGAGCCUGCCAUGAAGAAGACUGAGUGGGGUUAGAGCAACAGAGGAAUGGCCCUGGAGGCCUGCUUGUGUGUAGCGUACGCGACUGGACCCUGUAUCCACUCUCCCUGUCUUGGCAGCAGUUUCCCAGAAGCCCAAAGGCUGACCUUUGGGCACACUGGGAAUAGAGGUGGACCUUGGAACUGACCGGUUAUGUAAUGACCCCAAAUGCAGGUUUAUGUCUGUAGUUCUUAGGAAACUGACAAGUGUUGGUCCAAACACUAUUUGGAUAUAAAAACCAGGAGAGAGAGCAACUCUGCAGCUUGCAUUCAGCAUGAGGAUGGAGACUUCAGAGGAGCCAGGCACGUGAUGAUGAGGAGGAGCUGGGGUGCAUUUGCGAAUGAAAGAAGGCACUGUCUUUGGAGAUGGAGAAACUGAGGCUCAGAAGAUUGUAUUGGAAGAUCAAUAUUGUCUGGAGAGCACAUCCAGGAGCUACACUUGGCUUUGACCUGAAUCUUAACCAAAUGAUUUUAUUCAUCACCUCAUACCCAGUUCCUGUAUUUAAUUUUGUCUUUUGGAUUGGGGUUGAUAUCUUUAUUUUUGAGGCCAAACUAGUGAAUCUAUAUAUCUACAGAAACAUUUCUCCAACCACACACACACCACCAACUAUAAUCUAGCAAAUAUAACAAAGCCCCUGAGGUCUUCAUCCAUUUAUCUUAAAAACCCUGCUAAGAACAAAUAUUGGGAUGCAGAUUUUAAUUGCUUUUUGGACAAAUGGCACAGUAUUUGAUCUGCUGUGAGAACAGUGUUUACAAGUCCCCACUCUUGUAUAAUCCCGUGCAUUUCACAAAUAUCACCACUUCCUACCUCUAUCCCAACUGUAGAGGCGGGAAAGCCAGACUCCAAGAGUGGCCCAGUGGCUUUGUAGCUGCUGGAAGUCAGAGGGGUUUUGCGCCUUGGAGCUGUUCUUUAGAUUCCUGCAGCUAUUUUCUAGAGAAAAUCUUUCUUUAGACAGAACUGCCCAGCCUCUUUUGUGAGGUGUUAUGGUAUUUAUUAAAUAUGUGGCCUUUGCUGCAUUAGUGACACUUUGUAAUUUAAACAUGUCCAAAAGACUACACCUAUGCCUUUCCAAUGCAUUUUAAUACAUUUGACUGUCUAGAUCUGAACUAAAAGGAAAAUCACUCCAGCAGAAGGUAUUCACUAUUCCUUCAGCAAACAAAGAUAUACCACAUAAUGUUGGAUGGGGGCAAAAACUGUCAUGGUUCAGGAAUGUUUUGCAGUUGGGUUCUCUCUAAACUGAAAACAUUCUUUUAAUAUGGGGAAUUCCAAUGAGGGCCAUAAAAAUCCUACACACAUGACAUAGUACCUCUCCUGAAUAAAGCCUACUGAAAGCUUAUUAAAAAUU